rnacentral:tRNA from 1 species
GGAGUUAUAGCUCAGUGGUAGAGUGCAUGCUUAGCAUGCAGAAGGUCCUGGGUUCAAUCCCCGGUACCUCCA